rnacentral:misc_RNA from 1 species
UAUCAGACGAAUUGGUGGAAAAUAUAAAUCGGAAUCGGAAUCGGCAAAAUGCAAAUAUUUGCAAUAUUAAAUAUAUUUUAUUCUAAUUAUUAAUAACGGCGGCAUUAAAAUGUAAAAAGUGAAGCACAUAGUGAUAUAAUAUUUAUAAGUGUAAUAAAUCUAGUCAAAUAUGCAAUGACAAUCAGAUAAAAAAGGAAAGGGAAGGCGUAGAAUUACGCUGCCCAAAUUCAUUCAUUAAUAAAAAGCAAAGUUUUGCAAAAAAAAAGAUGAAAUAUAUAUGUUAUGCGUAAUGAAAGCAGUGCUAAGUGUUAACUAAACUUAAUUAAUUUAUAUUUCUCAAGUUGAAAUACCAAAAUUUAUACUUUAAAAACAAGGCAAAAUCAAUUUGUACUGAAACUGUGAGGUGUGGAAAAUCGAGGUUGUGGGUGGUGGGUUACAGACGAACUAUCUGGGCAGGACAUCGUCGUUGCGGUUAAAGAAGACAUUGAGAAUCAGGUUGAAACCACUUUCCCACGCCCACAUAACGCACAUAUUUCCGUAAUAGUGGCACGUCAUCGUACUCCUAAUAGUUUACAUUCGUUAAAAAAAAGUCUAGAAUACAUAUGCAAAAAGUAAAAGUUGAUAAAUAAAGGCAACCAGCUAACUGUGCCGCGUUGAACGACUUAAUUAAAUACAAAUAAACUAAAGUCACAAUGGACGACGACACAAUGCUCAAUAACCAUGGCCCUCAGCCUGGCGCUGAGACGGUUUAUGGGACUGAGGACAACAAUAUGGUUAUGUCGGAGAAGAAUGAUCAGGUUGUGAGCAUCGUGCAACAAUUAGCUGGUAGUAUAUACCAAGAAUUCGAACGCAUGAUCAAUCGUUAUGAUGAAGAUGUAGUUAAAAAUCUUAUGCCGUUGCUGGUGAAUGUCUUGGAAUGUCUGGACGCAUCGUAUCGCAUUAACCAGGAACAGGAUGUUGAAUUGGAGUUGCUGCGUGAAGACAACGAGCAGUUGGUAACACAAUAUGAGCGAGAAAAGAGUGCACGAAAACAAUCGGAGCAAAAGCUGCUCGAAGCCGAAGAUGUGGCCGAACAGGAAAAUAAAGAUCUGGCGAGCCGCCUGGAAUCAUUGGAAAGCAUUGUACGCAUGCUUGAGUUGAAGCAUAAAAAUAGCUUAGAGCAUGCGAGUCGCUUGGAGGAACGUGAAACUGAAUUGAAAAAGGAGUAUAACAAGCUACAUGAACGCUAUACGGAGCUUUUCAAAAAUCAUGUUGACUACAUGGAACGUACCAAAAUGCUCAUGGGUUCGACACACUCACAAAUGAGUUCAGCGUCGGAGCGCUUGGAAGUGAAUAGAGCCAGAUUAAAUCCUAUCGCACGGUCCUCCGGUCCAGUGUCAUAUGGCUUCGCUUCGCUCGAGAACUCAGUCAUGUUAGAUACAGAGACAAUCUGUAGUGUUGGCAGCAAUUCGGAUGAUUCUGGUCCGCCAUCAUUGCAAAAUGAAUUGGAUAGUUUGCAGACAGUUGAACGUGCGGCUGAGACAGACACGCUGCAGCAACAGAAUCAAGCUACAUCGCCGCAAAGCGAAACGAGUCCCGUUGUGCCAAAUGCACCAGCGAGUGUUGGGCGUUCAACAACCAAAAAGGAGCAACGCUCUGCUAAUACCCUAUACCAAGAGUUGUCCUUUCAAGAUAACGAAGAGAGUGAAGAGCAUGAAGUUGUUACAGGCAGCUGGGUGCAUCCUGGAGAAUAUGCUUCUUCGGCUAACGACAACUAUUUUGGCAUGGGCAAGGAAGUGGAAAAUCUCAUCAUGGAGAACAAUGAACUUUUGGCAACGAAGAAUGCUUUGAACAUUGUUAAGGAUGAUUUGAUCGCCAAAGUGGAUGAGCUCACAGGCGAGAUAGAAAUAUUACGCGAAGAAUUAAAUGCAAUGCAACAAUCGCGCAACAAACUGCGACAGAAAGUGAGUGAAUUGGAGGAAGAACUGAAAAAGACAAAGGAACAAGUGAAGCAACAAAAUGACACUGAACAGGAUGAGAACGAUGUUCCAUUAGCCCAACGCAAACGCUUUACACGCGUGGAAAUGGCAAUGGUUUUGAUGGAGCGAAAUCAAUACAAGGAACGUCUAAUGGAAUUACAAGAAGCUGUACGUUUAACCGAAAUUUUACGUGCAUCUCGUACUGUUGACAAUUUGGACAAAAAGUCGAAGCAAAGCAUUUGGAAAUAUUUCAGUAGUUUAUUCACCCCCUCCAAUCGCCCGCAGGAGCGUGUCGCUGACGGGCAGGGAGGGGGGCCUAUGUUUCGUUACUCCAGCCCAGUACACAGCCACGGAUCCCCCAGUCGAAAUAGCGACAAUCGCCUUGCCAUAACGGGCGCACGUGACAAUGCUAAUCCACCACCACAUCCCGCCAGCGCGGGCUUAGCAAAUGCCUUGAUGAUGGCAAAAGACUACUCAGAGGAGGGCACAUCCGAACGUGCAAGUGCACGACGGCGCGAACAGUACCGUCAGUUGCGUGCGCAUGUGCAGAAAGAGGAUGGCCGUUUGCAGGCUUAUGGUUGGAGUUUGCCCAUAAACAAGGCGAACCAAGAACAACCAAAUCGUCAUUCUGGCGGCGUGCCAGUGCCAGUCUACUGUAAUCCUUUAGCGGAGGCAUCACCGCAUAUGAAGGUGUUCUGCGCAGCAGGUGUUAAUCUUAACGGCGGUUUUACCAAAGAUGGUCAUUCGGUUAUACCGGCGAGUUCACCGUACGCGCCACGUUCGACAGCAAAAAUUGCAGAGAUUACCAGCCCGACAGCAGAGCAUUCGGCUGAAGCACUCGAUCGCCAGAUAAAUCGUGCGAGUUUGGCUAAUUUGGAACCAGAAACGCAGUUGUCCUCCUAUGUGUGGAUAUGCACGAGUACGCAUGCUGCGAGCACUGUGACCGUAGUGGAUGCGAAUCAAUCAGCGGUUGUAUUGGAUGCCUUCCCCAUAUGCGCAUCACACAUGCUUUGUAUUGCUUCGGUACAAGGUGCUGUUGAAAAAGAUUAUGCUUUGCUAGAGAACUCUGAAGUUGUAAAGGCUGGCGAAAUGUUGGAGCGUCCUGGUGAAGGCACGGAAUCGUUUGGUAAGGUUGAGUUUGUGCGUGUGCGUCCGAAAGCCGAUAAAAACAGCAACACCAGCAAAGAUGUUAAAGCCGAUGAACAGGCACAGGAGGUGAUAGCGGUGGAAACUGUUUCUGUGGAAGAAAAUGCAAAGGAAGCUGUUGAAAAAGCAGCAGACGGCACGAAGGCCGUAUCCAACGAACCGUUGGGCAAUAUAGAUGAGAUUAAGGUACGACAGGCGCUGCCAGGUGCACCACAACGUUUACAGGACGACGGCAGUGUGACUAAUGCGAAAGCGAACAUCAACAAUAACAACAUGCAGCCGUCCUUCUCGAAGCCCAUCAACCCGAUAUUGGGUACGAAGAAUCGUCAAGAGCCACCAAUGAGUUCGGUAGGACCGACCAUGUGGAUGGGCGAUCAGGAAGGUUGGCUGUACGUACAUAGUGCGGUAGGCCGUUGGCAUGAAUGUUUGCAUAAGGUUCUCCUGCCCGAUGCCGUCCUAGCGAUAGUGCAUGUGGAAUCGCGCGUUGUCGUAGCCCUAGCUAAUGCUCAGUUGGCAGUGUUUCGCCGCCAAACAGACGGUCAAUGGGAUCUGAAUAGUUAUCACCUAGUGACGCUCGGUGAUCGUAAUCAUUCGAUACGUUGUCUCUGUGUGGCCGGCGAACGCAUAUGGGCUGCUCAUCGCAAUAAGAUCUAUAUUGUCGAUCCGAUCUCAUUGAGCAUAGUCCAUUCGCUUGAGGCGCAUCCGCGUAAGGAGAGCCAAGUGCGACAAAUGGCUGCUACCGGUGCAGGUGUAUGGGUCUCCAUACGCUUGGACUCUACACUGCGUUUGUACAGUUCGCACACUUUCGAACACAAGCAGGAUGUGGAUAUUGAGCCGUACGUCUCGAAAAUGUUGGGCACAGGCAAAUUGGGUUUCUCUUUUGUGCGUAUUACCGCAUUGAUGGUGUCAUGUAACCGCUUGUGGAUCGGUACCAGUAACGGUGUCAUAAUUUCGGUGCCAUUAUCGGAGGGUCAAGGCAAAUUAACUGAUCCCAAUAGUCAAAUACCGUUAUGCUGCAUGGCUAAUGCUCAACUAUCUUUCCACGGCCAUCGUGAUGCGGUUAAGUUCUUUGUGUCCGUGCCGAUGCAGCCACAAGAUGGUGGACAACUGCAAUUCACAAACAAGCGGCCGGAUAUGCUGGUCAUGUGUGGCGGCGAAGGUUACAUAGAUUUUCGCAUAAGGCAAGAAAAAUCCAUAACCGAUCCUGGUGAUAAUGAGGCGCAUUUGAUAGUUUGGAAAGUUGAUACUACGUAUAAUUUGUAGUGAUUGAGGGAAGAAUGGAUAUUACAACGAACAAACGUGUUGCCCACACAACGCGUUCGCCAUAGAAGAUCUUGUACUCGUUGUCGUUAGUAGCUCGUGCUACUCAGCUUAUUGUUGCUGCUGCUGUUGCUGCUGCAUACAUUGUGAUCAGUGAAAUAAACGUGCCUUAAUCUCCUCUCACAAACAAUUACCCUUACAUGCACAUGCGCAGCACAGCAAAUAUAGUUGAUGCAACGACUGUGACCUGAUAACAUACCAAAAUAAGAUGACAAUGACAUGGAAAACAGUAUUCAACUGGAGCCAAACCAAACGAUUGAAAAUCGGGGCGACAAGAGUUAUUUAAUUGUGUGGC